CCUUCGGUCCUUCGGCUCUUCGGCCCUUCGGCUCCUGCGAGUUCUCCGUCUCGGGGCCCUCUCGGGCCUUCUGCACUGCUCUAAAGCGUAGUGCUCACGGGUGGUAUUAUUUCCUUUUUUUUUUUUUUCCCCAGCCACUUCCGGGUCCUGCGUCGCUCCGGAAGCCCGCGAGUUCCGGAAGCCCGGGUAACCCACAUUCAGCCAGGAAAAAGCCAAGCUUUCCAGAGUAUGUUUCAGAAAAAGUUACGUGGAGCGUGGGCGUUUCGCAGACUCCUAAGGUCCCAGCAAGUAUGAGGCAAGGAUUUCACAGAGGAACUUGUAGAAAAAGUCUCCAUUGCCAUAGUAGAGGGCUGUCAAGUCUUGAAGGAGCUGCAGGAAAGGGGAAAAGGUGAGAUCUCCCCAGAAGGCUCUUGGCAUUUAUGGCUGUCAUUCCUUUCAUGAGGAGGGCCAAGAAGAAAACAAAAAGUAAUAGAAAAGAAAAGGGAGAACAAAAGAAAGGAAGAAAGAAGAGAGAAAAGAGAGAGAAAGAAGUUCCAAAGACCUUCAGAGAGGACAUGGCACCCAGAGAAGAGAAUACAAAGAGUACAGACAGAGUACUCAGAAUAAGUCAGUUGGAUGCGCUGGAACUAAACAAGGCCCUGGAGCAGCUGGUUUGGUCCCAGUUUACUCAGUGUUUUCAUGGAUUUAAGCCAGGCCUAUUUGCUCGCUUUGAACCAGAAGUAAAAGCGUUCUUGUGGCUUUUUUUGUGGAGAUUCACCAUCUACUCUAAAAAUGCUACUGUGGGACAGUCAGUUUUGAAUAUUCAGUACAAAGACAGUUUUUCCCAGAGCCUGAGAUAUCAGCCACCAAGUAAAAACCAGAAAAUCUGGUAUGCUGUCUGUACCAUUGGUGGGAGGUGGUUAGAAGAACGAUGCUACGAUUUGUUUCGAAACCAUCAUUUAGCAUCCUUUGGGAAACUUAAACAGUGUGCAAAUUUUGUGGUUGGACUUUUGAAAUUAGGUGGGUUAAUUAAUUUUUUGAUUUUCCUUCAACGGGGAAAGUUUGCAACUUUGACAGAACGUCUUCUAGGCAUUAAUUCUAUAUUUUGCAGGCCCCAAAAUGCCCGAGAAGUUGGUUUUGAGUACAUGAAUAGGGAACUUCUCUGGCAUGGUUUUGCUGAGUUUCUAAUUUUUCUCUUACCACUUAUAAAUAUCCAGAAAUUGAAAGCCAAGUUAUCCUCAUGGUGUAUCCCUCUUACUGGUGCUUCUAAUAGUGACAGUACAUUAGCCACCAGUGGCAAAGAAUGUUCUUUGUGUGGAGAGUGGCCCACCAUGCCUCACACCAUAGGAUGUGAACAUAUCUUCUGUUAUUACUGUGUUAAGAGUAGUUUCUUAUUUGACAUGUACUUUACUUGUCCUAAGUGUGGCACAGAGGUACAUAGUGUACAGCCACUGAAAUCAGGAAUUGAGAUGUCAGAAGUGAAUGUUCCUUAGAAAGUAAAAUUGUUUCCUUUGAGGAAAACUGUAUUAUGUGUAAAUUCUUAAUGUUAGUCAUCCUAAGUAUGGUACUUAGAUGUCUCUUAUAAGGCUGGUACUUCCCAGUCAACGUCUUCUCUUCCUUUGGAGAGAUGACUAAAUUCUAAUCACUGUAAACCACAUGAUUCUAAAUAUAUUAUGUAAAAUAUUUUAAAUUAUUGCAUUCAAUUUUUACUAUCAGGAAUAAAGGAGAGUUUUUGUCAUAUGACUACCAAGAAAGAGUUGGGUUACACUGGGAUGUGUAUAGAUUUAUUUUCAGAGAUGAUAAAAUAUCAUAAUCUGACAAUGAUAAGGCCCUGUUUAAACUUUUAAGAUUGUAAUUUUAAACUUUUCUCUGAAGCCAGUUUUCAAGAGGUUCACUCCAUAGCUGUUGGACCCCUUCACAGUUGACUUCUUAGGUAUAAAAAGUAAAAAUUGCUUAAGGCAGUUAGAAGUGAGGCUACAGGGGACACCUGGCAAGAAGAAUAUUAUUUCCUGGAUCUCUUUCUUUAGUCUUUGAUUCAGAGCUUAUGUUCUCAGCAAGAAUAUUGGUAGUUUUAUGAAAUACCAGAGGUCUUUAGCAUAGUAAUAAUACAGGAGUACAUAUCAAGAUGUACUUUGCUCCUUUUCUCUGCAUUUUUCACUUAGAAGUUAAAAAUUAAUGUUUUGCUAAAUAAUAAUCACAUGAAAAUAUUUGGACAGUUUUUAAGUUACUUUAACAAAAUAAUGGCACUGAUUUUUAAACAAGAUAUCAAUUUUUUUGUGCUUUGACAAUAAAUCAAAAUAUAAAAUAAAAUAAAUUGUGCUUUGAUUAAAAUAUACAUAUACAUGUAUAUACAGACAUAUGUUAGGAAUAAUUCACAUGUAGCUAAAGUUGGGCGUAGGAUAGUCAUGACUACUCUGAAAGAAUUAUUACACAGGUGAAACACAACACAAGCAUAUUAAUUUUUUUCUUUUUUUUUUAAAUUCUUAAAGUGGAAUAGAAUUAGCAUGAGCAGUGAUUUGUCUCAAGUUAUUCAUUAUAUAGUAAGCACUUUCCUAGAAUAAAUAUAGUACAGUGAAAAUACAGGAUAACUUGUUCAUUUUUCUCUUCACCUUCCAUUCAGCAAACACUUAGGUGCCAGGUACUGAGGAAGCUACUGUGAAUAUAAUGGUGAGUACAGGAAAAAUAGUCAUCAUCAUGUAGUUUACCUUGUGUGAUUAAAUGGAUUUUUGAGUUUAACUUUGGUUUAAUUUAAAUAAGAUAGCCAAUGAAUUUUGUUGUUUGAAUGUAAGAGUUUUUCAUAUAUUACAAAGUUUACCUUUUUUCUUCUCUAAUUUUAAAACAUUAUUGUUAAAAACUUAGGAAAAAAUGAAAUUUUCAUUUUUUUACCCACCGAUCAUCACAGUAUACUGGUUCAUUUGAUGGUACGCACAUUUCUUAUUUACAGAAUCAUUUAACCUCUGUCAUUGGGCAUUUAGAUUCUAUCUACUUUCUAUAGUAAAUAAACACAGUGAUGAAUCUGGAAUAUCGUCAGGCCUCUUAGUUUCCACGAUAUAAACCAAUCCAGAUUGAAUUGGCAAAAAGGAAAAUAAUUUAUUGAAUUAUCUCAGUGAAGGAUCCGCAUGUACACUGCAGGGCCAGUCUGGUUAUACGUGCUCAAAUAAUCGUCUUCGAAUAGUCUCUCGGCCAUAAUUUUAUGAUAAACACUGUACAUGGUAUGAGGGAUAUGAACUCAGGUUCAACCUGUGCAGUUCAGUUAGAUGUAGUCUGGGCAAUGCACUUAAUCUCUACACUGGUACAUUGUGAGGCUUGUGUUUAAGAUAUAAUAGUAGUUCCUUCCAUUAAUGGUAAUAUUCUGAGUUGGCUUCAUUCUCAGGCAAAAUGAUGUCCACUUUUGAUGCUUAAGGUUUAUAUUCUGCCAGCUUUCUGAUUCCACUGAAAUGACAUUCCUCUUCCUGGUAGUUCCAGCAAGAGUUCUGUAUUAUUGGUUUGUCUUGGAUUACACACAUUUCUAAACCAGUUACCACAGGAAAAGUGAUAAAAAAUACUGUUCCCACUUACUCAAAUGUUGCUGACAUUCCCUAUGUAUACAACAUGAACCUAAUGGUGCUGAGGGGAGGCUGCUCAUCACAGAAAACCAAGCUGCUCUUAUAAGAAGGAUGGAUACUGGGUAGAUAAAAAGAAGAGAUCACUAAUAAAGUUUACAUUUGUCCUUAUUAUACCUAAAGUCCAUUUGCAGUCUCAUUUUCCAGUGACCUAGUUUAUACUGAUAUUAAUAAACAACUGUCUUAGAAUACAGGUUUGAAAUGAUUAAAUGAAGUCAAGAUUUUGUUAAACCAACAAUUUUAUUGUUAUUGUUAUUUGAUAGCUGAGUAAACUCUAAAGUAGAUGCCCCUAUUUUAAUUUUAACAUGAGAACAUAGUACUUUAAAUGCUAGCUAAUAAAGUUGUCAAUUUUAUGGAGUCUUUUUUUCUUUUCUCCCCCUUUAGACUGAGUUGCACUGUGUUGUCCUGGUUGGCCUGAUCUCAACCUCCUAGGCCUAAGUGAUCCUUCUGCCUCAGCCUCCCCAGUAGCUGGGGCUACUUUUUAAAUUUUUAAAAAAGCUCUAUUUAACAUUUGCAACCUUCAGAACCUUGAGUUCAGAAACUGAAUGAAUGUUUUGUUCUUCAUUGGAUAACCAGAACCUUUAGUUCUAGCAUACCAAUAUAGAAAUCUUAGCCAAAUAAAUAAACUUAGUGUUGCAGAUUGAGCUCUAUGGAAGCAGAGGUUCAAAGUGAUUGGAAAUGCUAGACAGAUGCAGUCAUUUUUCAGUAUUGGUGGGAGAUAGGUUUUAGAAUCUCUGCAGGUAUACCAAAAUUGCAGGUGCUCAAGUUCCUCAUAUAAAAUGGCAGAGUGUUUGCAUAUAACCAUAUACAUCCUCCCAUAUACUAUAAAUCAUCUAUAGACUACCUAUGAUACUUAAUGCACUAUGAAUAGUUAUGAUGUAUUGUUUAGGGAAUAAUCUGAAAAAUGCUUUACAUAUUCAGUACAGAUGUGAUGUUAUUUUAAUAUUUUUUAAUCUGUGAUUGCUUGUAUUUGCAGAUGCAGAAGGAAGCUGUGAACACAGAAAUCUAUAAAUCAAGGAUCCAUACCUUGAAAGGAAAAGGCAGAAAAGAUGCUUGACAUACCACACACCAGUGGAAGGUAAUCAGUGAAUUUAUGACUGACUGAAAUACUCUCAUGCUUGCUCCCGGAGCUCUGCCUCACUGCAGAUAGCCAGGCCUCUUGGGCACAUUACAGUUCCAGAGACUCCGUUCAGUCCCGGCCUCCCUGGGCAAUGCCAAAAGACUAUAUUUUUAACACUGAGGCAACUGAUUCUACUGCCCAGUGACUUCAGGGCUCAACAGGGAGGAAAACUGGAUCAUAUUUAGCUACAUGGGUUUCUUCUUUAGCCUCAAGAAUCAAACCAUCAGUUAUAAGUUUUCCCUUUGGAAAAUAAAAACUUUUACACUAA